rnacentral:rRNA from 1 species
AGAGUUUGAUCCUGGCUCAGGACGAACGCUGGCGGCGUGCUUAACACAUGCAAGUCGAACGGUAAGGCCCUUCGGGGUACACGAGUGGCGAACGGGUGAGUAACACGUGGGUAAUCUGCCCUGCACAUCGGGAUAAGCCUGGGAAACUGGGUCUAAUACCGAAUAGGACCACAGGACACAUGUCCUGUGGUGGAAAGCUUUUGCGGUGUGGGAUGGGCCCGCGGCCUAUCAGCUUGUUGGUGGGGUGAUGGCCUACCAAGGCGACGACGGGUAGCCGGCCUGAGAGGGUGUCCGGCCACACUGGGACUGAGAUACGGCCCAGACUCCUACGGGAGGCAGCAGUGGGGAAUAUUGCACAAUGGGCGAAAGCCUGAUGCAGCGACGCCGCGUGGGGGAUGACGGCCUUCGGGUUGUAAACCUCUUUCACCAUCGACGAAGGUCCGGGUUUUCUCGGGCUGACGGUAGGUGGAGAAGAAGCGCCGGCCAACUACGUGCCAGCAGCCGCGGUAAUACGUAGGGUGCGAGCGUUGUCCGGAAUUACUGGGCGUAAAGAGCUCGUAGGUGGUUUGUCGCGUUGUUCGUGAAAUCUCACGGCUUAACUGUGAGCGUGCGGGCGAUACGGGCAGACUUGAGUACUGCAGGGGAGACUGGAAUUCCUGGUGUAGCGGUGGAAUGCGCAGAUAUCAGGAGGAACACCGGUGGCGAAGGCGGGUCUCUGGGCAGUAACUGACGCUGAGGAGCGAAAGCGUGGGGAGCGAACAGGAUUAGAUACCCUGGUAGUCC